CCCUUAGAUGUUCUGGGCUGCACACGUGCUACACUGGCAGGUUCAGCGAGCUUCAUGCCCUGAUCUGAAAGGAAUGGGAAAUCUUUUCAAAACCUGCCGUGCUUGGGAUAGAUGUUUGCAAUUAUUCAUCUUCAACGAGGAUUGCCUUGUAAGCGCACGUCAUCAGCGUGCAUUGAAUACGACCCUGUAUUCUGUACACACCGCCCGUCGCUCCUACCGAUUGAAGUUUUCGGUGAGUUGACAGGAGGAUUUUUUUGAAACUUGUUCGCCAGUGGAUUUUAGAUCCAAAUGCCAACGAAUCGAUGGCUUUAGGGGAAGGAGAAGUCGUAACA
rnacentral:rRNA from 1 species